rnacentral:rRNA from 1 species
AUCAACGCUGGCGGCGUGCCUCAGACAUGCAAGUCGGACGUGAAACUCCCUUCGGGGGAGUGGAAAGUGGGCGCACGGGUGAGUAACACGUAGGUAAUCUGCCUUCGGGUGGGGAAUAACAGCCGGAAAACGGCUGCUAAUACCGCAUAAAUGCAGCGGCACCACAUGGUGACAGUUGUUUAAAAGCGGGGGAUCAUUUGACCUCGCGCCCUGAAGAGGAGCCUGCGGCGGAUUAGCUAAGUUUGGCAUGGGUAAUGGCCUACCAAGGCGACGAUCCGUAGCCGGGCCUGAGAGGGCGGUCGGCCACACUGACACUGACAUAACGGGUCAGACUCCUACGGGAGGCAGCAGUCGGGAAUUUUGGGCAAUGGGCGCAAGCCUGACCCAGCAACGCCGCGUGGAAGGAUGAAGUUUUUCGGAAUGUAAACUUCACAAGAAUGGGAAGAAUAAGAAAGGGUUUAAUACCUCUUUCGAUGACGGUACCAUUUGUAAGCUCCGGGCUAACUCCGUGCCAGCAGCCGCGGUAAUACGGGGGGAGCAAGCGUUUGUUCGGAUUUACUGGGCGUAAAGGGCCGCGUAGGCGGCACGACAAGUCGCUUGUGAAAUCUCCGGGCUUAACUCGGAGCGGCCAAGCGAUACUGUCGCGCUAGAGUGCGGAAGGGGCAACUGGAAUUCCUCGGUGUAGCGGUGAAAUGGCGUAGAUAUCGAGAGGAACACCUGCGGCGAAGGCGGGUUUGCUGGGCCGACACUGACGCUGAUGCGCGAAAAGCCAGGGGGAGCGAACGGGAUUAGAUACCCCGGUAGUCCUGGCCUUAAACGAUGGAUGCUUGGUGUCCGAGGUUUUAUAGUCCUCGGGUGCCGGCGCUAAACGCAUUAAGCAUCCCGCCUGGGGAGUACGGUCGCAAGACUGAAACUCAAAGGAAUUGACGGGGACCCGCCACAAGCGGUGGAGCAUGUGGUUUAAAUUCGACGCAAACGCGAAGAACCUUACCUGGGUUAGAAUGCUCCGGCCAGCCCUAGAGAUAGGGUCUCUUAGGGAAACCUAAGCCGGAUGCAAGGUGCUGCAUGGCUGUCGUCAGCCUCGUGUCGUGAGAUGUUGGGUUAAGUCCCCGCAACGAGCGCAACCCUUGUCAAUAGUUGCCAGCGGUUCGGGCCGGGCACUCUAUUGAAACUGCCGUUGAUAAAACGGAGGAAGGUGGGGGAUGACCGUCAAGUCCUCAUGGCCUUUAUAAUCCAGGGCUACACACGUGCUACAAUGGCAGGUACAAAACGCUGCCAAAACCCGCGAGGGGGGAGCCAAUCGUAGAAAGCCUGUCUCAGUUCGGAUUGGAGUCUGCCAACUCGACUCCAUGAAGUUGGAAUCGCUAGUAAUCGCAGAUCAGCAUGCUGCGGUGAAUACGUUCCCGGGUCUUGUACACACCGCCCGUCACAUCACGAAAGUGGGUUGUACUAGAAGCGGCAGGGCUAACUGCUCGCAAGAGCGGAGGCAUGUCGUAACGGUAUGAUCCAUGAUUGGGGUG